UCUACGUUCGGUAAUCAGUAUUCAGUAGUCUCGUUGCCGUCGUUCUGUGUGGACGUUUUGGUGUGACUUCUAUCACUCCGUGUUGUGCGGUGUUCUUUAAUAUUAGUUAGUAAAACACAACAACUACUAAGACUCGAUAAAGUAAUUUGUAGUGACAAUAGUAUUACGUAAUAAGCCUUCACCGUGUCCGCGUAAACAAGAUCCGUUUAGUUUUCGUGGUGAAUGUGUUUACGUUUACGGUGUUUUUUCAAAAAUCUUUCGAAAACUGAUAACAGCAUCGCGACAACGACGACAAGUCGUUCAGUGGUGUAGAUCUUAUCGGUCGGUCGAACGAUUUUGAGACUAUCACAUCUGUCUACUACUAUCGCAACGAUGAACCUGAUGUGCACCGAGUCGCAGACGACGUCCGAAGACAGGUGUUUCGCUGAGGACCGGACUAUUUUUCGGGAUGAACGGGCUGUUAAAAAGCUGUUGGAGACCGAGUCGCAGUACGUGCCCGGGUGUGAUUACAUGGCCCACUCCCAUUCCAACUUACAGCCAUUCAUGAGAAGGGUGGUGGCCACGUGGAUGUUGGACGUAUGCGAAGAACAACGGUGCGAAGAUCAAGUAUUUCCAUUAUCUGUAAAUUUCUUGGACAGAUUUUUAUGCGCUUGUGAUAUAUCUAAAACACACUUGCAGCUCACUGGUGCCGUGUGUCUGUUAUUAGCAUCAAAAGUGCGACAAUGUACAGCACUCUCCAUUGAACUCUUGUGCUACUACACAGAAAACAGCGUCACUCCAGAAGAGAUGAGGGAAUGGGAAUUGUUAGUUAUUUCUAAAUUAGAGUGGAGGAUUGUAGCCGUCACUAGUUUCGAUUAUGUGGAUCAUAUUAUGGAACAAAUUAAAUGGAAAAGAAGAAAUGAUUCAAUGCUCAGAAGGCAUAUGUUGACACUCAUCUCCUUCUGUUAUAUAGAACCCGAUUUCAUAGCGAAAAAACCGUCGGUAAUGGCGGCGUCGUGCAUGCUGUCGGCCAUCCGCGGAAUCGAUCCGUCCGCGGCCGCCGAGGUGGCGGCAGAGCUGUGCGUGCUGUUGGCGUGCACCGCGGCCGAGGUGGACGAACACGUGUCGCUCAUCGACGCACUGGUGGCCAGCACGACGGCCGCGGCCACGCCGGAAAAAUCGGAAAACAACAAUCCAGCUUCCGAGCCGCCCGUCAAGAAGCCGUACCGCGUGCAGGACUGCGGUUUGCACGGCGGCGGUGGUCGUCUGUAGUGCGGAUCCCGCAACCGUGUGUACAAACGUGGCACGUAAUAUUAUGUCCGUGUGCGAGUGCAGCAGCAACGAUGGCCACCACUCAAGCGAAUUCGCUAUCUUAUUUUGUUAAUUAAAUAUUAUUAUUAUUAUUAUUAUUAUUAUUAUUAUUAUUACAUACGUAGGUUAUAUUAUUAUAUAUAUUUAGUUAUAAUAUUAAAAGAAAAAUGUGAUAAAUAGUCUUAGGUAUUAUAAUGUGUUCUCCGCAGGAGCUUAUUUUUCUUAAGGUUUAGUGAUUAUUAUCAAUAUUUUACUACGAUAUAACAUUAUUCUUUUGUGUCUUUAGUUUUUUAAGUUUUACAUCCCUUAUUGUUUAUUUUAUUUAAUUAUUAGUUAUUAUUACUAUUAUUAUUUUAUGUAUGAUCUCUCCUCUUUAUAUGUAAAUGAUAUGGAAAACAUUGUUUCAUUAGAAAAAAAAUCCAAAAAGAGCUGAUUUGUAUAUAAUAUUUUUUUCUUAUUCAUUAGUUCUUUCCUCCGUUAAAGAAAUUGAAUAAUUAUUAAUGAUAAUAAACCAUGUAUAAUAUGAAUUUAUUCACAGACUUAGUUAAAUAUUGUUAUAACAAUUUAAAUAUAGCGAAAAUUUUAUAGAUCUCUUGAACGUGGGCUAUUCAUAUUAUAAUAAUAAUAAUAUUUGUAAAAUUAGUUUUGUUUUAUUAUUAUUAGGUAUUUAAUAUUCUUUAUAUUUCCUUUCUAUCGUAUAUAGAUAUAUAUUUUGUAGUCAUUCGGUAAAACACAUUAUUAUUCGAGUCAAAGUAGCUAAAUUAUUAUUUACUCGUCAUGUUCUUGAUCUCCAAAAACGCGUAUAGUAAAAUAUAAUAUAUGAAAAGAAAAUUAUUAUUUAAUUAAUAAGUAAUAGGUACCAAUCUCUAGUAAGAAUGUUAUUUUAUACCUAAAUAAGAUUAAACACACAAACAUAACCAUUAUUUUUAUUUCUCCCGUUUUAAUAGUACAAUAAAAAUUAUCAUUAAAUUAAAUUAUUCUAAGUGCAUAAAUACACGUCAUAAUAUAGUCAAUGCAAAGGGAUAUGGUUCAAUAAUCAUUAUUCGAGUUACCUUGUUUUUGACGUACUCCCCGCUACUGCACCAUCCCUAAUUUAACCAUAAUAGCAGUAACGUUUUCAUUAGUAAUAUUAUUAUUAUUAUUAUGAUGUUUUUUUUAUUAUUAUAUAACAAUUAUUAGUUGCUUCGCCAUUAUUAUCAUCAUAUGAUUACCCAGAAGUUAUACAUAAUGUGUACACUAGCCAUACGAUUUUGUUUUUUUCUUUAUUUUUGAGGUAUAAAACAUUAUUAUUAUUAUUUUAAUAAUCGGCUAAAAGAUUGUUUAUUUUUUUUUUAUCAUUAAUUUGAUUCAACAGCCUGACGAAUGGACGGCUUUAAUGUAUUUAUAAAUAUUUUUAUUAUUAUUAUUAAUUUUAUUAUUAUUAUUACUAUUAUUAUUAUUAUAUUACUAUUAAAAUAAAAUUAGUUUUAUAAUAUAUUAAUUGUAAUUUCUCACGAGUAGGCAGCCGAUUCAACUGCGCUCGGAUACAGCUAUCAAACCAAAUCGAAAUGUCCCUAUUUUGGUCGUCAUCGAACGAUCAUCCCUAAAUCUUCCAUUUUUCCUUACACACUUCCCCGUACUUUAUCAAUAAGUAUAACAAUAAAGUGUAUACCUGAUAAUAUAAUAUAAUAUGUUCACUCCCUUUAUUUUAUUUUAUUAUAUGUUUUUUUUUGCCUGUACAACUUACGUGUUAAGAAGAAAUAUAUUUAUUGUAUAAAAAAUACGAAAAAUAAAUUGA